GGCAGUGAUGAUCAACGCUAUAUUUCUGACACCUCUUGUAUGAGAAGAACCCUGAAAAAGUUCUUCCUUGAGCACAGUUAGCAACUCUCUGAGCC